CCUACGGGAGGCAGCAGUGAGGAAUAUUGGUCAAUGGGCGCGAGCCUGAACCAGCCAAGUAGCGUGAAGGAUGACUGCCCUAUGGGUUGUAAACUUCUUUUAUAAAGGAAUAAAACGACGCACGUGUGCCUUUUUGCAUGUACUUUAUGAAUAAGGAUCGGCUAACUCCGUGCCAGCAGCCGCGGUAAUACGGAGGAUCCGAGCGUUAUCCGGAUUUAUUGGGUUUAAAGGGAGCGUAGAUGGGUUGUUAAGUCAGUUGUGAAAGCUUGCGGCUCAACCGUAAAAUUGCAAUUGAUACUGGCAGUCUUGAGUACAGUAGAGGUGGGCGGAAUUCGUGGUGUAGCGGUGAAAUGCUUAGAUAUAACGAAGAACCCCGAUUGCGAAGGCAGCUUACUAAUCUGUGACUGACAUUGAGGCUCGAAAGUGUGGGGAUCAAACAGGAUUAGAUACCCGGGUAGUC
rnacentral:rRNA from 1 species